rnacentral:rRNA from 1 species
UACAGAGGGUGCGAGCGUUGUCCGGAAUCACUGGGCGUAAAGGGCGCGUAGGUGGCGCGACAAGUCAGUGGUGAAAGUUCGACGCUCAACGUCGAAUCGGCCACUGAUACUGUUGGGCUUGAGCACUGUAGAGGCUAAUGGAAUUCCGGGUGUAGCGGUGGAAUGCGUAGAGAUCCGGAAGAACACCGGUGGCGAAGGCGGUUAGCUGGGCAGUUGCUGACAC